rnacentral:piRNA from 1 species
UGCUUUAAUGAGAAAACACUGAGGUUGCCUG